UGAAUACGAGACGCUACGGCGUCGAAGCAGUCUAUGUCAUACUUCCAAGAAAAGCUUGCACUGUCAUAAACAAAUAAUGCCUGUACCAUAACCGACACAGGUGGGUAGGUAGAGUAUACUAAGGGGCGCGAGAUAACUCUCUCUAAGGAACUCGGCAAAAUGACUCCGUAACUUCGGGAGAAGGAGUGCCUUAUUUAUAAGGUUGCAAUAACAAGAUCCAAGCAACUGUUUAUCAAAAACACAGGUCUCCGCUAAGUCGUAAGACGAUGUAUGGGGGCUGACGCCUGCCCAGUGCCAGAAGGUUAAAGAAGUUGGUUAGCAUUAGCGAAGCUGAUAACUGAAGCCCUGGUGAACGGCGGCCGUAACAAUAACGGUCCUAAGGUAGCGAAAUUCCUUGUCGGGUAAGUUCCGACCCGCACGAAAGGCGUAAUGAUUUGGAUACUGUCUCAGAGAGGGGCUCGGUGAAAUAGACUUGUCUGUGAAGAUGCGGACUACCUGCACCAGGACAGAAAGACCCUAUGAAGCUUUACUGUAACUUGAAAUUGAAAUUGGACUUUAUUUGCGCAGUAUAGGUGGGAGGCAUUGAUAAUAUUCUUGCGGGAAUGUUGGAGCCAUCAGUGAGAUACCACUCUUGUAAUGUUAGAUUUCUAACUUUGGAUCAUUAUCUGGUCAAAGGACAGUUUCAGGCGGGCAGUUUGACUGGGGCGGUCGCCUCCUAAAUGGUAACGGAGGCGCACAAAGGUUUCCUCUGAACGGGUAGAAAUCGUAUCUAGAGUGUAAAGGCACAAGGAAGCUUGACUGUGAGACCUACAAGUCGAGCAGGGACGAAAGUCGGUCUUAGUGAUCUGACGGUGCUGAGUGGAAAGGCCGUCACUCAACGGAUAAAAGUUACUCUAGGAUAACAGGCUGAUCUCCCCCAAGAGUUCACAUCGACGGGGAGGUUUGGCACCUCGAUGUCGGCUCAUCGCAUCCUGGGGCGGUAGUACGUCCCAAGGGUUGGGCUGUUCGCCCAUGAAAGCGGUACGCGAGCUGGGUUCAGAACGUCGUGAGACAGUUCGGUCCAUAUCCGGUGUAGGCGUUAGAAUAUUGAGAGGAGCCUUCUUUAGUACGAGAGGACCGAGAAGGACAUACCUCUGGUGUACCAGUUAUCGUGCCAACGGUAAACGCUGGGUAGCUAUGUAUGGAGAGGAUAACCGCUGAAAGCAUCUAAGUGGGAAGCCCACCUCAAGAUAAG
rnacentral:rRNA from 1 species